CUUCUUGAAUGAUGCAGACUUGUUCCUGCACCACUGCUUCAAGAAAGUAUCUUCUAAAAACUGCCAGUAGGUUUGGGAGUUGAUUUUAAAUUUAGCUUUAACGCAAACAGGUCC